rnacentral:rRNA from 1 species
UACGGGGGGGGCAAGCGUUGUUCGGAAUUACUGGGCGUAAAGGGCUCGUAGGUGGCCAACUAAGUCAGACGUGAAAUCCCUCGGCUUAACCGGGGAACUGCGUCUGAUACUGGAUGGCUGGAGAUUGGGAGAGGGAUGCGGAAUUCCAGGUGUAGCGGUGAAAUGCGUAGAUAUCUGGAGGAACACCGGUGGCGAAGGCGGCAUCCUGGACCGGCAUUGACGCUGAGGCGCGAAAGCCAGGGGAGCAAACGGG